UACGUAGGGGGCAAGCGUUGUCCGGAAUCAUUGGGCGUAAAGAGCGUGUAGGCGGCCCGGUAAGUCCGCUGUGAAAGUCCAGGGCUCAACCCUGGGAUGCCGGUGGAUACUGUCGGGCUCGAGUCCGGAAGAGGAGUGUGGAAUUCCUGGUGUAGCGGUGAAAUGCGCAGAUAUCAGGAGGAACACCGGUGGCGAAGGCGGCUAUCUGGACAGAGUCUGACGCUGAGGCGCGAAAGCUAGGGGAGCAAACAGG
rnacentral:rRNA from 1 species